UUUUUUUAUUCAGUAUUUAACCAUCACGAGUUUACAAAGAACAUAUCAUUGAUCCGUAUCCGCAGGCCAAGUUCGUGGGUCAAAAUUGAAGAACGAGCUCUGAUCAUUUUUCUGUACAGGCCGAUCAGCACUGAGAGUGAAUGAGACGAAUAGUUCUGUUGGUGGGCGCUUUUAAUCAUAAUUGCGAUUCCAAGACUCUAAAGAAGGCGCUGCACGAGUGUUGUUUUGGACUGACAUGAAAAAGCUGUUGGCUUUUGCGAAAAAGUACACUAUUGAUCUGUCAAAAUAAAGUUAUUUAUCUCAAA